rnacentral:rRNA from 1 species
GAUGAACGCUAGCUACAGGCUUAACACAUGCAAGUCGAGGGGAAACGACAUCGAAAGCUUGCUUCCGAUAGGCGUCGACCGGCGCACGGGUGAGUAACGCGUAUCCAACCUGCCCAUCACUUGGGAAUAACCUUGCGAAAGUAAGACUAAUGCCCAAUGACAUUUAUAGAAGGCAUCCGAAAUGAAUUAAAGAUUUAUCGGUGAUAGAUGGGCUCGCGUCCGAUUAGAUAGUUGGUGAGGUAACGGCCCACCAAGUCGACGAUCGGUAGCCGGACUGAGAGGUCGAACGGCCACAUUGGGACUGAGACACGGCCCAGACUCCUACGGGAGGCAGCAGUGGGGGAUAUUGCACAAUGGGGGAAACCCUGAUGCAGCGACGCCGCGUGAGGGAAGACGGUCCUCUGGAUUGUAAACCUCUGUCUUCGGGGACGAAAGAAGACGGUACCCGAGGAGGAAGCCACGGCUAACUACGUG